CACCCUCGGGGUGACAGGGAGACAGGUGGUGCAUGGUUUGUCGUCAGCUCGUGUCGUGAGAUGUUGGGUUUAAGUCCCGCAACGAGCGCAACCCCUACGUUUAGUUGCUAACAGGUGAAGCUGAGCACUCUAGACGAACUGCCGUUGACAAAACGGAGGAAGGUGGGAUGACGUCAAAUCAUCAUGCCCUUAUGUUCUGGGCUACACACGUGCUACAAUGGCCGGUACAGACGGAGGCGAAGCCGCGAGGCGGAGCAAAUCCGAAAAAGCCGGUCUCAGUUCGGAUUGCAGGCUGCAAUUCGCCUGCAUGAAGUCGGAAUCGCUAGUAAUCGCAGGUCAGCAUACUGCGGUGAAUACGUUCCCGGGCCUU
rnacentral:rRNA from 1 species